CGUGCACUGGUGGGGUCCCUCGGCCUGGCCUGCGCCCUCUCACAAUCUGGAACCCCUCAGAGGAUGUCAGACUGCUGAUUCGUCCUGGUCCCUGCAGGCCAGGCCGAGGGACCCCACCAGUGCUUC
rnacentral:pre_miRNA from 1 species